rnacentral:misc_RNA from 1 species
UGCCCCAGCUCGCUGAAACAAUGAGGGAUUGAUUUGGCAAAUGUAAAAGAAAUGACCACAUUAUAAUCACCAAAACUACUUGGAUAACAAUAUUUAGGCAAUGAAAUGAUCCAGUUUGGUUAGUUGGAAAUGUUUCAUAAUUCAAUGAAUACUGAAACAUUCAGCUUGUGACCUCUACUAGGAUCUUUCAGUAAAAAUCAUACCAACAACUCUUGAUAUGCAGCAUAAUAUUGUGGAUAUCUUGCCCUUGCUCCACCAAAAGCUUCUUGCCAGGU